GAUCCAGUCCAUAUUGCAACAAUCGAACUUACUGCAGAAUCGAAAAAUCAUGCAGAACAGUCAAAGAGUACUCCUCCCAGUGGUGUGAUAAUAGGAGUCGUAGUAGUCCUACUUGUAAUCGUGGUUAUACUGAGUCUGUUGGGAUUCAAAUACAAACGGAGCCGCAUUGCAAGGAACGACUGCUCGGAUAUCUCUCUUGAUGAUAUCGUUAAUGAUCCUG